GUCACUGACUGUUCAAGGUUCCUGGUCUGCACUCUGGCAGGUUCAAUUCCUUCAGGGAAGGGGGACCAAUCUAUCUCUGAAUAGUUACUACAGAAGUCCCACUGCACCUCUUUGACUUGAUCAGGCCUCAAGCCCAAUCCUGUAGGAGGAUGGAAAGUCACAGAUUUGAAACAUGGAGGGAAUUUGACACAUCAUUGCUGGCCUGAGGAUGGAGGAAGAACAAGCCAAGAAACAUGGACAUCGUGAGGAAUUGAGAAUAGUGCCUUGGUGACAAGUAGCAAGGAAAUGAGGACCUCAGGCCCACAACUGCAAGGAAAUGCAUUUGAUCAACAACCUGAAUGAAUGUGGAGGCACAUUCUUCCCUAGAGCUUCCAGAUAGGAAGUUAGCUGGCCAACCCCUUCAUUGUGAUCUUGUGGAAAUAUAAAGGGAGAAUCCAGCUGAACCCUCCAGGACUUCUAACCUACAGAAUUGUGGGAUAAAUGUAGGUGCUGUUUUAAGCUGCUAAAUUGUGGUAAUUUGUUAUAGCAUCAAAAAAAAAAAAAA